AAGGGAAAUCACUUGCAAAAUAAAACGAAUCCAUUGAGCCAUUGAGUAGGUCUGAAGAAUCUCUUUUGGAACGCUUGGUCUUGGUUGUGCUUGGAUGUCCAAGUUUCCAUGGGCACUGACUGUGAAGGAUGAGGGCAGCAUAUGCCUCACUCUCAGAACAUAGAACUCUGAAUCAGCCUUGUUGACUUGACCACCUUCAGACUUUGUGUUUAGCUCACUGUUUACUACACUAUGAUACCAUAGACUAUGACAUAAAGAAUAGUAUUGUUCUAAUCGUACUUUCAGUAGCCAAGACUCUGAUGCUACUUUUUUCUCAUGAUUUAUGGCAAUGAUAAUUUCUUAAUUUCGUAAUAAUUUCAUACUACGGAAAUGAAUGAUAUAAUGGCAAAGAGUAGAAAAAUGAGUUACAAAUCAUGGCAGCUGGAGCAGAAGACCUUGGAUUAGAAAUAUGAAUUUCCUUUAAGAAAAAUAAAUACAGUGUGAGGGCCUCUGGUAACUCAUUGCUAUCUUUCAUAAUGCAUACCAUCCACCAGAUUGCAAAAUAUUCAAUGAAAAAACGAAAGCGGAGCUUUUUGUCAGUGCUGUGCUGUGUUAUGAUCGUGUAUGCUGGUGUCCAGUUCAUGUAUCUGAAUGAUGACUACAGCCCACUCCAGCUUUUGUCAAGCGUGGAAAAUGAAGCCACCCGUUUAAUGAGAUUCAUGGGUCAAGUCCAUUUGCAGUGCAAUGUCUCUCUGCCCACUAACAACGCCAGCACUUGGGUCCUGUGUCUUGACCAGGAUGUUGGUCUCCAUUUAUGGAGUGACGAGACAUACAAAGAUGGAAUUGUGUACUCAAUAGGACCAUCUCCUGACUUCAGUUUUGAAAGAAUGGUGGCUGACAAUUUGUCUCACCAUUUGUACAUCUUCUCUGCGCCAGUACCUUAUAGAAACCAACUUAUUCGCAUCAGCAACACUACCAGCGUUUUUAAAGUCAACAUAGUUCCCAAUGACCCAGCCGAUUUUGCCCGCAACUCGUUUGACACUCAAACUUUGAACUCGGUGAUGUCCACCUUGAAGCAUGGCCAGAUUGAUGUUCUGAAGUUAGACAGCAACGUAGAGGGCGUACAGUCAUAUGAUGUCCUCCGCUUCCUGGUAGAGGAUGGUAUCCUCAAAAAAGUCAAGGAGUUGCAUAUUGUCCUGAAAUUAGAUAAAGUGGAGGAGGAUGACAUCUACAGUUGGUACCGUGCCCUGUAUGGACUUUUUCACACAGCUGGGUUUCGUUUGUACCACUCUUCUACCUCCGACCCUCUGUGUCUCCAAGCGACAAUCAUGGAAUCUUGUAUUUAUUAUAUGUCCUGGGUGAGAAAACCCCCGCCUCACAUCCUGGUCAUGUACCCGCCAGCAAUUGAUGGUUCUCUCCACAAUGAAGAAGAUCGCAUGGUUAAUUUCUUAGAGCAGUCAUCUUCUCAGGACCAUAGAUUUGUGCCAGUGCCCUUCAACUCAGGGGGACAGGGAAUGAGUAUCUUCAUGCCUUUGACCUUGGCUCCUCGCAAAUUUCGAGCAAGCUCAGUUUUCUUUUUUCAAGGCCAGAAUGAUAUGCCUGUGGAGUCUGUGCCAGGUUCCAAAGGUAUCCACUGCCAGGCCUACACACUCAGCUAUGAGAUUACAAAUGGCAACUCUCUCACAGUGUACCAGCGUAGACAGUCGUCAUCCAGAGAAGAAGCAAAAUGGGAAGAACUGACCACGUCAACAUGGCUGAAGCUGCUAAAAGAGUCGGGUGCCAACAUUUUGGUCCUUAACAUAGUCCCAGGCUGGACACUGUUGUCUCAACUUUCAUAUCAUGGCAUUCCAAAGACACUCACUACUUGACUUUCGGUCAGAGCUGCCACCUGCAUGUCUUCCGUGCUGCGUAUUUUGUCUGUGAGAUACGCCCUGAUACCCAGGCUAUCCUUGAGGCCCCUGGCACUGGUCAUCCCGCUCUCUUCACGGACUCUUUCCUCACCGUAUCUCAAUCUUAUCUGUGUAUCUUUGUCGUUGUAUUUAAAGUAAAUCAAUCAUAGCAAGAAAGCUAAAAUAACUCUUCGUCAUUGUAUUUAAGUAAAUCAAUCAUAGCAAGAAGGCUAAAAUAACAAGAGGGUAAAUGCAUUGAUUUCUAUAAGGCUUUAGCAUGAACAUACAAUACAUGUAUUACUCUUUUGGUGAAAAAACAAGAAAAGAUAUUUAUUUCUUCCUCACUUCCGGCAUACAUGACGAUGCAACUGAUGCAUAUAAUAAACCAUCAUAUAUGUCA
rnacentral:misc_RNA from 1 species